GACGAACGCUGGCGGCGUGGAUUAGGCAUGCAAGUCGAACGGUAUCAUCCUUUCGGGGGUGAGAGAGUGGCGAACUGGUGAGUAACACGUAGGUUAUCUACCCUCAAGACGGGGACAACCCAGGGAAACUUGGGCUGAUACCGGAUGUGAGCAACUUUUAGUUGUUUGAAAGGUGGCGUAAGCUGUCGCUUGGGGAUGAGCCUGCGUCCUAUUAGUUAGUUGGUGAGGUAACGGCUCACCUAGGCAAUGAUAGGUAGGCGGCCUUAACGGGUGGUCGCCCACACUGGGAUUGAGAUACGGCCCAGACUCCUACGGGAGGCAGCAGUCGAGAAUAGUCUACAAUGGUCGGAAGACUGAUAGUGCGACGCCGCGUGAACGAUGAAUCCCUUCGGGGUGUAAAGUUCUUUUAUAUGUGAGCAGUGCUUCUUAUAUUAACAGUAUGGGGAGAGAGAUAUUAGCAUAUGAAUAAGCAACGGCUAACUCCGUGCCAGCAGCCGCGGUAA
rnacentral:rRNA from 1 species